GCCUCGGUAGUUCAAUGGAUAGAACAAAUCCGUCCUAAGGAUAAAAUGGGGGUUCGAUUCCCUCCCGGGGCA
rnacentral:tRNA from 1 species